AUGUCGCAGAGUGGCGCGCCGCACCAGUCGCGAACCCCUCCACCCACGAAGCAGCGACAACGCUCGCCUAGCCACGGCAGGAGUAGAGUUCGACGUGGUGGCGGCGAGGUGGUCGUGCAGCAGGUCGUGCGCGAGUCCAGCAGUGGCUCCGGCGCAAAUUUGCAGUUCCCGAUGCUGACGCGUGGCGGUUACACGCACUGGGCGAUGGUCACGGAGGUAAACCUCCAGGUCGCAUCGCUCUGGGACGCGAUCGAGGACGACACCGUCCCUCGCGCCGACGACAAGAAGACCCUGGCGGCGCUGCUCCGAUCGACGCCGGCCGACAUGCACUGCAUGUUGAUCGGGAAGGGAUCGGCCAAAGCGGCAUGGGAGGCGAUCCGGGUCCAGUACCAGGGACCUGAUCGUGUGCGCGACGGACGACUGCGGCGUCUCCAAACUGAGUUCGAGACCGUGGCAUUCACGGACGGCGAGAAGAUCUAG
rnacentral:rRNA from 1 species